rnacentral:rRNA from 1 species
UACGAAGGGUGCAAGCGUUACUCGGAAUUACUGGGCGUAAAGCGUGCGUAGGUGGUUCGUUAAGUCUGAUGUGGAAGCCCUGGGCUCAACCUGGGAAUGGCAUUGGAAACUGGCGACCUAGAGUGCGGUAGAGGGUAGUGGAAUUCCCGGUGUAGCAGUGAAAUGCGUAGAGAUCGGGAGGAACAUCUGUGGCGAAGGCGACUGCCUGGACCAGCACUGACACUGAGGCACGAAAGCGUGGGGAGCAAACAGG